UCCAGACUCCUACGGGAGGCAGCAGUGAGGAAUAUUGGUCAAUGGGCUAAGGCCUGAACCAGCCAAGUCGCGUGAGGGAAGACGGCCCUACGGGUUGUAAACCUCUUUUGUCGGGGAGCAAAGCGAGUCACGUGUGACUCAUUGAGAGUACCCGAAGAAAAAGCAUCGGCUAACUCCGUGCCAGCAGCCGCGGUAAUACGGAGGAUGCGAGCGUUAUCCGGAUUUAUUGGGUUUAAAGGGUGCGCAGGCGGAGGUGCAAGUCAGCGGUCAAAUUGCGGGGCUCAACCCCGUACUGCCGUUGAAACUGCAUCCCUUGAGUGCGCGAGAAGUAUGCGGAAUGCGUGGUGUAGCGGUGAAAUGCAUAGAUAUCGCGCAGAACCCCGAUUGCGAAGGCAGCGUACCGGCUCCACACUGACGCUGAGGCACGAAAGCGUGGGUAUCGAACAGGAUUAGAUACCCCUGUAAUG
rnacentral:rRNA from 1 species